ACUCAAAGGAAUUGACGGGGGCCCGCACAAGCGGUGGAGCAUGUGGUUUAAUUCGACGCAACGCGAAGAACCUUACCUGGGCUCGAACGGCUUUGGACGGCUCUUGGAAACAGGGGUUUUCCCGCAAGGGACUGAAGUCGAGGUGCUGCAUGGCUGUCGUCAGCUCGUGUCGUGAGAUGUUGGGUUAAGUCCCGCAACGAGCGCAACCCUUGUCCUGUGUUGCAACUAAUAGGCACUCUCAGGAGACCGCCAGCGAUAAGCUGGAGGAAGGUGGGGAUGACGUCAAGUCAUCAUGGCCUUUAUGUCCAGGGCUACACACGUGCUACAAUGGGCGGUACAGACCGCUGCAAACCCGCGAGGGGGAGCAAAUCGGAAAAAACCGUUCUCAGUUCGGAUUGCAGGCUGCAACUCGCCUGCAUGAAGCUGGAAUCGCUAGUAAUGGCAUAUCAGAACGAUGCCGUGAAUACGUUCCCGGGCCUUGUACACACCGCCCGU
rnacentral:rRNA from 1 species